GGUUUAUUUUCUUAAGCCAGCUGUUUAAAUAGUUAGUCAUCCAAAGUUAGUCACUCCAGCCUCCCUCUGUGCAGCCACAGGGGGAAAUGUGCACCUCCAAAGGCCAAAGACCCUAAGAGUAAGAUCAGAGGAACCUGAGACGAUUUAAAGGAUCACUCUUUGGACUUGAAUAUUUGGAAGAAUUUUCAAGGCAAUCCUGCCAUGGUUUAUGAAGUCAUCUUCAGGCAAGAGCACUGAGGGAGUACUGGAAGAGCCCCUGCAGGACAACAUGGAACUCAGAUGCUGCUGGACCCAAACAAACCACACAGCAGGAAAGCAGCUCCAUGUGAAAUAAAGGCUUAAGAUUACGGCAGGCAAGCUACUGUAACAUAGCUCACAUUAGAAAUGCAUGCAUGUCAAUUUAUGGAGUUUUAAAGACCAAGACACAUAUUUUUUUCAUUUAUUUUAGACCUUGAUACUGCAUUUAUGACAACUGUGCAUGAUAUAUCUAUCUGUGAGGACUACUAUUCA